rnacentral:rRNA from 1 species
ACUCCUACGGGAGGCAGCAGUGGGGAAUAUUGGACAAUGGGGAACCGUACUCCAGCCAGCCGCGNGUGUGAAGAAGGCCUUCGGGUUGUAAAGCACUUUCAGUGGGGAGGGAAAGGUUGAUGGUUAAUACCUAUCACUGUGACGUUACCCACAGAAGAAGCCACCGGCUAACUCCGUGCCAGCAGCCGCGGUAAUACGGAGGGUGCAAGCGUUAAUCGGAAUUACUGGGCGUAAAGCGUGCGCAGGCGGUCUGUUAAGCGAGAUGUG